GAAGGAUCUCUCUGAGGCUGAUUGUCUGGGUUCUGGCAUCAGCCUCUGAUGGAGAAUCAGGUCUCCCUGUGGGAGGAGUCAGACGAGGAGUGAUCCUCUGCUCCGUCCUUAUGGGUUUAGUUGUGAUGAGCUGGUGAGGUCUGGUUUUCCACACUGAACUAAAAUGAGCUUUCGCUAUGUCAGGCAAAAGACUGACCCCAGAAGCACACAUAGCGCAUCUCAUAGAAGCUUUUAAUAGUUCAUAUUUACUAAAGAAUAGGAAUACAGAGCGAUGAAGAUGAGCUGGAAACGACAGGUGACUUGCCAGCAGGCCAGAAUGUGCUUUUUCUUUGUCCCAUGGAAGGUGUUAAUUCUCCCUCCAGUUGUGAGGAUCAGUUGGUUCAUUUAUGGGAAGGUUGUCAGGGGACCUUUGAAUCACGGCCUUCAGAUGCCGCAAGGAACCCCACACAGGCCAGUGGAUCACGUGCAUGCAUUUCUCUCCCUUCUCGACUCAGGAAGCUGAGAAUGAAAGAACGUGAACGAGAAGAAAAGGAGAGGCGGCUGUCAGAGGUGGAAGAAACCAUGAAAUUGGCUCUAGAAAAAAUACCCAUCUGCAAGUGGGUUCAGAAACCGACACCAGCCUCUUGGGAAAGCGCUGGUGGAGUGUUUUGUUUUAAAUCUUUGUACAAUGUUUAGACCCAGUUAACACAGAAAUGGAAACAAAUGGUCAGAAGCGAUACCUAGAGAGAGAGACAAUUCACACAAGAGAACACAAGUACCUUAAGAUUUACUAGUGUUCAAAACAUGUGAAGUAGCCAAACAUCUCCUGACUGCAAUGCCAGCCAGACUGUGUGGAAACUUGGUUCAUACCAGCCGUUCUAGGGGUGAUGUGAGUUGUCAUCAUCCUUAGGAAAGUGUGUUGUUGUAGGAUCAACCCAUCCUUCAAAAGGACUGUGCCUGUUUAUAAGCUCAGCUGUUUCUGCCCUGUGAAAUAUGGCAAGGAUAUUAAUUCCAGGAGAAUAGAGCUUUAUGAUAAAAGAUGCCCAAUGAAGCAUGAAUUAGGGACAUACUGAAAAUGGGUAAGGAAAUUGUCAACUCAGAACCCAGCAGGCAUUAAGUAAAAGAGGAGGAAGCAUUACAGCAACAGUUUUGAUCAUACUGUACUUUUAUAGCCAUGUGAAAUACAUUUUCUAUGUAUAGAUAGAUUGUGUAAGGGUACAAUUGUGAGGACAACAGGAACAUGGCAGAUUAUUUAAAAUCAUACUAAAGAUGAUACUUUGUCUGAUGAAAGUGAUUCUAAACCAUAGAAAAACGAUUCAAGACAGACAAGAGCUGCAGCAGUGGGUAGAGGACUCCUACAGAUGAGAGAUCGCCCCUUCUGCUGCAAGAAAGGCCCUCAACAACUGGGUAAGUUUGUUCUUUUUUCCCUUGCUUUUCGGCCAAGUCGGGACAUGGAUGUAUUUUUC
rnacentral:lncRNA from 1 species